ACCUGUUUGGCCGUUUUUUUUUCAAAAUAGUGGAUACACAAGCUUCAUAAGGCCACAGAAUAGGAAGUUAUACCAGAAGCGUAACUCUAGUCGUUUCCCUUAUCCACGAAAAUUUUAACUCGCUCACGUCAGGCAGGGCAUUUUUUAAGAAUUCGUCAGUGGGGGGGCCAUCUACAAAAAGGGACCAUACUAUACCGAGUGUGGAG